GCUAGCUACAGGCUUAACACAUGCAAGUCGAGGGGCAGCAUGGUCUUAGCUUGCUAAGGCCGAUGGCGACCGGCGCACGGGUGAGUAACGCGUAUCCAACCUGCCUUACACUCUUGGACAGCCUUCUGAAAGGGAGAUUAAUACAAGAUGUUAUCAUGAGUAAGCAUUUUCGCAUGAUUAAAGGUUUACCGGUGUAAGAUGGGGAUGCGUUCCAUUAGAUAGUAGGCGGGGUAACGGCCCACCUAGUCUUCGAUGGAUAGGGGUUCUGAGAGGAAGGUCCCCCACAUUGGAACUGAGACACGGUCCAAACUCCUACGGGAGGCAGCAGUGAGGAAUAUUGGUCAAUGGACGAGAGUCUGAACCAGCCAAGUAGCGUGAAGGAUGAAGGUUCUAUGGAUUGUAAACUUCUUUUAUACGGGAAUAAACGGAUCCACGUGUGGAUUUUUGCAUGUACCGUAUGAAUAAGGAUCGGCUAACUCCGUGCCAGCAGCCGCGGUAAUACGGAGGAUCCGAGCGUUAUCCGGAUUUAUUGGGUUUAAAGGGAGCGUAGAUGGGUUGUUAAGUCAGUUGUGAAAGUUUGCGGCUCAACCGUAAAAUUGCAAUUGAUACUGGCAGUCUUGAGUACAGUUGAGGUAGGCGGAAUUCGUGGUGUAGCGGUGAAAUGCUUAGAUAUCACGAAGAACUCCGAUUGCGAAGGCAGCUUACUAACCUGUAACUGACAUUGAUGCUCGAAAGUGUGGGUAUCAAACAGGAUUAGAUACCCUGGUAGUCCACACGGUAAACGAUGAAUACUCGCUGUAGGCGAUAUACAGUCUGCGGCCAAGCGAAAGCAUUAAGUAUUCCACCUGGGGAGUACGCCGGCAACGGUGAAACUCAAAGGAAUUGACGGGGGCCCGCACAAGCGGAGGAACAUGUGGUUUAAUUCGAUGAUACGCGAGGAACCUUACCCGGGCUUAAAUUGCAACCGAAUAUGGCGGAAACGCUAUAGCUAGCAAUAGCGGUUGUGAAGGUGCUGCAUGGUUGUCGUCAGCUCGUGCCGUGAGGUGUCGGCUUGAGUGCCAUAACGAGCGCAACCCUUGCCGAUAGUUACUAACAGGUUAUGCUGAGGACUCUGUCGGGACUGCCAUCGUAAGAUGUGAGGAAGGUGGGGAUGACGUCAAAUCAGCACGGCCCUUACGUCCGGGGCUACACACGUGUUACAAUGGGGGGUACAGAGGGCUGCUACCACGCAAGUGGAUGCCAAUCCCAAAAACCUCUCUCAGUUCGGAUUGAAGUCUGCAACCCGACUUCAUGAAGCUGGAUUCGCUAGUAAUCGCGCAUCAGCCACGGCGCGGUGAAUACGUUCCCGGGCCUUGUACACACCGCCCGUCAAGCCAUGGGAGCCGGGGGUACCUGAAGUGCGUAACCGCAAGGAGCGCCCUAGGGUAAAACUGGUGACUG
rnacentral:rRNA from 1 species